AAACCAAGGAACAGUAAGAUACAAGCCACUAAGCAAACCCAAAGUUUAAGUUUAAACCCCAUCUCAUCUCUAUUUCCUCCCAACCUUUCACCUAACAUGAGAGCCCGGCACACUUCUCCAAAUGGGGUGGCUUCACUUCCUCGUCUCCCCUUUAAAGAAACUCUGGGAUCGUCUGCAUUCCUCACACAGAAAACGUAGUGGGAUAUAUAUCCUCUACAAUGAUGUGAAGGCUUGCCCCUGUGAAGAUGUGCAGGUCUUGUGGUCAAUACUGGUGGAGUCGCAUCCGGCUGAUGUUCGACAAUCGCCAUUGAAAUGAUGAGUCCAGGUUGGCCUGCAUGCUGAUAGCAUAAUGUUACCUCUGUGUACAUAUAAUAUAUUAUUAUUCAGCAUAUUAUGCUGUGAUUAGAUAUAUUGAUCCAGCUGCUGCAUCCGAAAUCUUCUCUGCUAUCUUCUGUAACAAGGUCAUUUUUUCCAAUCUCAUGUGUACAUAGGAAAUUAACGAUGCUUUUAUUUGGCUA